GCAAGACCGCGAGGUUUAGCAAAUCUCUUAAAGCCGUUCUCAGUUCGGAUUGUAGGCUGCAACUCGCCUACAUGAAGUCGGAAUCGCUAGUAAUCGCGGAUCAGCAUGCCGCGGUGAAUACGUUCCCGGGCCUUGUACACACCGCCCGUCACACCAUGAGAGUUUGUAACACCCAAAGCCGGUGGGGUAACCUUUUGGAGCCAGCCGUCUAAGGUGGGACAGAUGAUUGGGGUGAAGUCGUAACAAGGUAAC
rnacentral:rRNA from 1 species